GGCGCCAUGGCUUAGUUGUUAAAGCGCCUGUCUAGUAACCAGGAGAUCCCGGUUCGAAUCCGGGUGGUGCCU